AUGUAGGGAAAUCUGUCUUUAAGUAGGGAUAAAUUACUCUUGAACAAAAUGACCCUAGAUAGUUUUCCAUUCGAGUCAAGCAUCUUAU
rnacentral:pre_miRNA from 1 species